rnacentral:rRNA from 1 species
UACGUAGGAGGCAAGCGUUGUCCGGAAUUACUGGGCGUAAAGCGUGCGUAGGUGGUUCGUUAAGUCUGAUGUGAAAGCCCUGGGCUCAACCUGGGAAUGGCAUUGGAUACUGGCGGACUGGAGUGCGGUAGAGGAUGGCGGAAUUCCCGGUGUAGCAGUGAAAUGCGUAGAGAUCGGGAGGAACAUCCGUGGCGAAGGCGGCCAUCUGGACCAGCACUGACACUGAGGCACGAAAGCGUGGGGAGCAAACAGG